GAGGGUAUAGCUCAGUGGCAGAGUGUGUGCUUAGCAUGCACGAAGUCCUGGGUUCAAUCUUCAGUACCUCCA
rnacentral:tRNA from 1 species